GCGCGCGCUCGAGCGCGGCCUGGUAGAUCCGGAAGUUCUUGUCUUCCGGGGUCAGGGCCUUGAGCUCGGUCUCGGCGCGCCCG
rnacentral:tRNA from 1 species